CUCUUAUCUAUCUAUCUAUCUAUAUUCUCUUGUUAGCCUAUUUCAUUUUUUUUUUUUCAAUUGCUGUUUCUACAGGUUGUUUUGUAGAGUGUGAAUUUGAGAUAUCUCAAUUAUGCCGCUUUCUAGCUUUCGUGACAGAGUGCAUGACAUUCUCUCUGUCUAUAGAGUCGAGCUUGUUUCUCUUCUCACCAGGCAUGUGGCUGAAGGGAAAGGAAUAUUGCAAACUCAUGAUCUGUUGUGUGAGCUCGACAAUGUAGUUGUAGAUGAUGAAGCAAUGGAGAAGCUUCGCCGCAGUCCUUUUGUUGAAGUCCUUCAAUCUACUCAGGAAGCUAUCGUACUGCCUCCAUUUGUUGCAAUGGCAAUUCGGCCAAGACCUGGUGUUUGGGAAUAUGUUCGUGUUAAUGUAUAUGAACUUAGUGUGGAUCAUUUGAAUGUUUCUGAAUUCCUUCGUUUCAAAGAAGAUCUCGCGGAUGGAGAUAGGUGCGACGAGAGUUAUGUGCUUGAACUUGAUUUUGAGCCAUUUAAUGCAACAUUUCCUCGGCCAACCCGGUCGUCAUCAAUAGGAAAUGGGGUUCAAUUCUUGAACCGUCACCUGUCUUCAGUUAUGUUCCGACAAAAAGAAAGUUUGGAGCCUCUGCUUGAAUUUCUCCGCACGCAUAAGCAUGAUGGUCAUGCACUGAUGCUUAAUGAUCGGAUACAGAACCUAUCCUCACUUCACUAUGCUUUAGCACGAGCAGAAGAGCACCUUUCUAAGUUUCCACCUAAUACACCAUUUUCUGAGUUUGAAUUUGAUUUACAAUCAAUGGGUUUUGAGAGAGGUUGGGGUGACAGGGCAGAACGGGUAUCAGAGAUGGUGCAUUUGCUCAUGGACAUCCUUCAGGCACCCGAUCCCGCUUCCUUAGAGUCAUUUCUUGGGAUGCUUCCUAUGGUCUUCAACGUUGUCAUCGUGUCUCCUCAUGGCUACUUUGGCCAAGCAAAUGUUUUAGGAUUGCCAGAUACUGGUGGACAGAUUGUUUACAUUCUUGAUCAAGUGCGUGCAUUGGAGAAUGAGAUGGUUUCUAAAAUACGAAAACAGGGAUUGGAUUUUGUCCCAAAAAUCCUUAUUGUCACUCGACUGAUACCCCAUGCAAAAGGCACAACAUGCAACCAAAGACUUGAAAGAAUUAGUGGAACAGAAAACACAUAUAUUCUGCGGGUUCCUUUUAGGACUCAGAAUGGUAUUCUUCGUAAAUGGAUUUCAAGGUUUGAUGUGUGGCCAUAUUUGGAGACCUUUGCAGAUGAUGCAUCGAAUGAAAUUGCUGCUGAGUUGCAGGGAGUUCCAGAUCUGAUCAUUGGUAACUAUAGUGAUGGAAAUCUUGUUGCUUCUCUGUUGUCUUAUAAGCUCGGAAUUACACAGUGUAACAUUGCACAUGCAUUGGAGAAAAUUAAAUAUCCAGAUUCUGAUAUAUACUGGAGAAAAUACGAGGACAAGUACCAUUUUGCAAGUCAGUUUACAGCUGACAUCAUUGCAAUGAAUAAUGCAGAUUUUAUCAUCACUAGCACAUAUCAGGAGAUUGCAGGAAACAAGAAUAACAUUGGGCAGUAUGAGGGCUACACUGCUUUUACUCUUCCUGGCCUCUAUCGAGUUGUUCAUGGAAUCAAUGUUUUCGAUCCCAAGUUUAAUAUUGUCUCUCCAGGAGCAGACUCGUGCAUUUAUUUUCCAUACUCUGAUAGGGAAAGAAGACUCACUGCUUUACAUGGUGCCAUUGAAGAGCUCUUAUAUGAUCCUGAGCAGAAUGAGGAGCAUAUUGGUUAUUUGACCGACCAAUCAAAGCCGAUUAUCUUCUCCAUGUCAAGACUUGAUAGGGUGAAGAACUUGACAGGACUUGUUGAGUGGUACGGCAAGAGCAGCAAGCUAAGAGAGCUUGUAAAUCUUGUUGUGGUUGGUGGUUCUAUGGAUGUGAAUAAAUCCAGGGACAGAGAAGAAAUGGCCGAGAUUAAAAAGAUGCAUGGCCUCAUAACAGAGUAUAAUUUGGCUGGCCAGUUCCGUUGGGUUGCUGCUCAAAUGAAUCGUGCUCGUAAUGGUGAGCUCUACCGCUACAUUGCCGAUGCAAAAGGUGUUUUCGUACAGCCAGCUUUCUAUGAAGCUUUCGGCCUCACUGUUAUAGAAGCAAUGACUUGUGGGCUUCCUACCUUUGCCACUUGUCAUGGUGGCCCUGCCGAGAUCAUUGAGCAUGGUACUUGUGGGUUCCAUAUUGAUCCCCAUCACCCUGAUCAGGCUGCUUCACUCUUGAUCAACUUCUUUGAACGGUGUAAGGAAGAUCCUAGCUACUGGAACACGAUUUCUGAUGGAGGUCUUAAACGAAUUUAUGAAAGGUACACAUGGAAAAUAUAUUCUAAGAGGUUGUUGACAUUAGCUGGAGUUUAUGGCUUCUGGAAGCACGUGUCUAAGCUGGAGAGGAGAGAGAUAAGACGAUAUUUGGAGAUGUUUUACAUUCUCAAGUUUAACAAUCUGGUAAGAAAUGCAAGUACGACGAUAUCAUCAGAAAAAAGAAAUGAUCAGAAGAAGUUGAAGAAAGAAAAAAUAGAAGCUUCAGUCAGUAGUAAACCACGGACAAGGAAAUAAUCUAGUAACUCCUGCAAUGAUCAUAAGCGUGAGAUUAGAGCUCCAUAAUAUAAAUUCUCAAUUACAACAGGCAGCACGAGAAUAAAGAUCCUGUCGGCUACGUCUCUCCAAAAUCCAUCGUCUCCUAGCGCGUGGCCUGCACGCACGUCCACUCAAGCGUAAAACUCAAAUCCGCAAGACCACCGCUCUGUAGCACGUUGCCGCCAAAAACAGUAUCUGACAUUUCUUCUAGAAAUUCUGCUAACCAACUGUCUUAUCUAAUCUAAUCUACAACACAUCAUAUCGGCAGAACUCCUCGAUAUUCUCAAAGCCUGACAUCAUAUUACUCAGAAACGCCAUACUCUUCUGUUUUCGCGCAUUCAUUUUCCUCUUCAUAUGUUCCAACUCCAUAACCACUUAAUAAAAACUCCAAUUUCUUUCAUAAAA